UUCUUAUAACCAUAAGUUUGAUUUUUCAUGUUGGUCUGUUGUUAUCAAGAUUUUGAAUCAUGUCUGGAGCAAGAUAAAACGCUUUUUUGUUCUAAUAAAAACCAGAAAACUUCAGUAAACAAUUAUUAAGUCAUGUCUAAAAAUCUACAGUAUGAAAGGAAGGCAACUCUGUUAUCAGGUCUACUUUAUCAGUUUUAUAUUUCCAAACCGUCUCAUUCUCCC
rnacentral:lncRNA from 1 species